UUAUGAGCACUUGUAAAUCAAUUACAUAGCCUAAUAGGCUGCAUCGUUUUAACAAACCACAGCCUCGCCUAUAUCAAAACCGUUUCAUUCGGAUUAAUAGGCGGGCACUCGUCAGGAUUCGUGGAUUACAAAUGGCUUCUACAGGAAUAAUAAAAUAGAAAACAUCGACAUGCGAAUAAAUGUUUAAAGGAGGGGUAGGUUGAGAACGGCCGAAUGAUAAUGUUGUCAUGAGGUUUCAUGAGGCAAUGCGCAUUGCUCUCCGAUUAGCUGGUGUCUGCUCAGACUCACCUCAGUGUUAGGGUGGGACGGGGCCCGGCUCGACCCUCUGGAGUUGGGGUCCGGUACCGAUCCGGAUAAGGAUCUUUCCUUUGGCGGCUCAACGGAGGGUCGAGAUGCACGUCCCGGAUCGGUGGCUGCAUGGUUCACGGCACUGCCGACGGGUAUCCCCUGGUUCUCACCGUUUGCCACUGAGUGUUUUCCCUCCUCCGGUCUGCUCCUGUGAAACCAGAGCACAGAGAGAGGGAAGCAGAGCGCUGAGAAACGACGCGCUGGUCCCAAAGCAGCCCGGGAGCAGCUCAACCUCAGCAGGCCCAGGACUGCUCCAAGGCCCUGGACCCCAGAACCUGAACUUCCAGACUCUCUAGACAUGCGUGUGAUAAUGAAUUCAGGUCCCGGGACGGGAGUUGGAUCAGAGUGAGGCUUUUGUCUUAUUGUUUUGGUCUCAUCAAAAAUGUAGACUAUAAUAUGAAGCCUAAUCAUACAAUAUAGAGCCAAUACCUUUGAACCGUAGCCUACAGUAGAAUUUUAGUUCAAGAUGACAUUUAUGAUAAGUUUGUCUAAGUUUGUUAAUGAUAAACACAAUCUUGAUUAUUGACUUAUUAGUCGAAUAAAUAUAAAGCAUUUACAAAAGGCUUUAUUGUUGAAAUGUUAUAGUGUUCAUGAUAUUGGAGUUACUUUGGUGUAUGGGAAUAUUUUGUGACAUUUAGGCCUAACAACUAGGAUAUUAGGAUUUAUUAGAUUUUGAAGUCCUGUGGCGUACUGGUUCACUGAGUUAUGAAUGAAGGCCAUAACAUAACAUAACAUAACAUAACAUAACAUAACGUUACGUAACAUAACAUAACAUUACAUAAAACAACAUAAUUGUUUUUUUAUAUGUAAAAAUAGGAAAAUGAAAAUCAGACUAAGCUGGUCUAGAAAGGUACAGCGUAGUGUGAGAAGGAAUGUCUCUAAAAGUUAACAAUAAUAUACGCAUUUAUACGGACAUGAGUAUAGCGAUCGUAGAAAAAUGCAAUGUCAUCGAUUGGUUGAUCAUUAAAGGUUUGUAUCCCAUGUAAUUAACGCACGGAAACAAGCACUAAUCUGCAAAACUUCAAAUAAUUAUAAUUAUAUUCAUAACAAUCACUAUGAUUUUUAUUGUUGUUCUUGUUAUUAUUAUAAUUAUUAUAAUUAUCUAAAUUAUUAUAAAGGCCUACCUGUGGAUUUCCCAUUGCAUAACUCCCCUAUAAAUCAUCUGCUUAUUUUAUAUGCUAUAAUCAAUAAAUUAUUAUUUUUUAGUCUAAAUGCUUUGUCAGUGCUUAUUGUGAUUCCUAAUUUGUCUUAUCAUUAUAUCCAAAUGAGCUGAAUCCCUGUCCUGCUCUCUGAGAGAACAGAGGCCUACUGAAGCCGGCUGCAGCAGUGAGCUGCUGCUCAUUAGUGAGGAAGGCCUUGUUGUAGCAGUGCUGUCCCCGUGUCAGGUGAAAAUAUGAUGCGCUUCCGUUGUCUGACAUGAGGCCCAACGCUCAUGGCUGCCUCAUGAAUAGAGAGCUCUGGCUCCUUGCGGGAGCCCGCUGACACCUUCUAAUCCAUCGGUGACACCGCCCCCCCACAGGGGGCCGGCAGAAGGUCGGGGCUCCGGAGCCACCGGGGCGUGGCACCCAGCCGGCUCGCUAGGGCUCUCCCUGAACACGGGGCAGAGAUGACGGGCAGAGAAGGCGAGCGCAAGGAAGAGUGUUGGAAUCAAGCAUGAAAGAAUGUGAGCAUGACUGCCUAUAGCUCAUCUGGCCUGGGAUGGCCUCGCUCAGGAGCCUGCGUUACCAUGGUGAUAAUACUAGGCCUCACUAGGCGUGAGGCCUAGUGAGGGAAGGUGUCCCUGAGAGGCAGGGAAACACAGGGAUCCUCUAUCCCUCGUUCUAGCGCCCCCGCCUGUUGGCUCACCUGCCCAGUGCACCCUGGCUCACACCUCCACAUGCACAACACCUGGUCUGCCUCUGGGACUCAGGGCCCACUCCGCCGUGAGGCUGGGUCACCUUUAUAGUGGUGACUGGGUGUUGACGAGCCGCAGAGCCCAUCAGAACCACCACUGCUCACACCUAUUCUCCUUAAUGCAAUUAAACAAGGGCCUGAG
ensembl:lncRNA